CCGACGGGUACAAUAGCUGCCCCAUCCACUGCACUUGGCACACCUCCCACUUCAGAGACUGCAUUUUGCUGAGGCUGAACAGCAGCUCCAGGAGGACCUUCAAUAGCCAGUGGUCCCAAAAGAUCACCAAGAAGAUCUUCUGAGGGAGUUUGAGGAUCUAUCUUAGUCAAAGUCCCAUUUGGCUGGGUCAGUGCUUGGCCUUCUGAAGUAUGCUCCGCAUUGCCACUUGUGCUGGGUACCUUGACAAGUGUAAGUGGGCCAACAGCUGGAACAGUUGGUGGUGGUCCAUUAGCAGAGUGUUGGUCAGUCACAACCAAAGCAUUUGAAGUUUGUUGCUGGGCCCGCAACUUAAUAGCACUUUGAUCUGCACUAUCAACUUCAGCAACUUCAGCCUUUUUAAUCAACGCAGACUGACGCUCAGGGAACUUAGGCAUUUCAGCCAAUAUGUCCAUUACAGCUGCACCUUUCCUACUUAAUGCAAAAUACUCUACUGCUCGUUGUUGUAUUUCAGCAUCAAUGCAACUCUCAUAUUUGUUAAAUAUUGCCCAGAUUUGGUUUUGCAAGUUCUGGAUCAGGAGGUUGAGUGUGCAUCAAUAUCUUAGCAUAAGUUGAAAGAAGAAUUGGAAUGGUAGAUGUUGAUACAGUAGGAAGCUUCUCAUGUAUUAUGAUAAAUAUUUCCUUUGGACUACACCCAGGCCGCCUGGCCAAAAGGUGGCUGAACUCUCCAAGGAGGUAAGCACUGACCUUGACCAUUGUCUCAUGUAUAG
rnacentral:misc_RNA from 1 species